AACAGGGACAGACACAGGAGCUCUAGAGGAGCACUGAGGAGGAGUCAGCUUACACUGCCUCAGGAGCGGCGGUGGACCUGACGCUGCUGGCCAACCUGCGGCUCACGGACCCCCAGCGCUUCUUCCUGACUUGCGUGUCUGGGGAGGCCGGGGCGGGGAGGGGCUCGGACGCCUGGGGCCCGCCCCUGCUGCUGGAGAAGGACGACCGUAUCGUGCGCACCCCUCCCGGGCCGCCCCUGCGCCUGGCGCGCAACGGUUCGCACCAGGUCACGCUUCGCGGCUUCUCAAAGCCCUCGGACCUCGUGGGCGUCUUCUCCUGCGUGGGUGGCGCCGGGGCGAGGCGCACGCGCGUCAUCUACGUUCACAACAGCCCUGGAGGUGAGUCUGGUAGGCGGGGGGAUGGCGCGGGGAAAACCAGGCCGCUGACCCACCUUCCACCCCGCAGCCCACCUGCUUCCAGACAAGGUCACACACACUGUGAACAAAGGCGACACCGCUGUACUUUCUGCACGUGUGCACAAGGAGAAGCAGACAGACGUGAUCUGGAAGAGCAACG
rnacentral:sRNA from 1 species